GAGAAAUCCGCGCGCAGCCUCCGCCGCUGCACACUGCGGCCUCUGCUGAACCCCUGCCGCGCCGCCGCCUUCGCCAGUCCGGACCGGACCGGCCCGCGUUCCCUUCCUCCGCUCCAGCCGGCCUCCGGCCCCGCAACCUCCUCCUCGGCGAAGUCUCCCUGGCCGCCCCAUGUCGGCCGCCCCCGCCUACAGCGAAGACAAGGGCGGCUCCGCUGGCCCCGGGGAGCCCGAGUACGGCCACGACCCCGCGAGCGGCGGCAUCUUCUCCUCCGACUACAAGCGGCAUGAUGACCUGAAGGAGAUGCUGGACACCAACAAGGAUUCUCUCAAGCUGGAGGCCAUGAAGAGGAUUGUGGCGAUGAUUGCCCGAGGAAAGAAUGCUUCAGACCUGUUUCCCGCGGUGGUGAAGAACGUGGCCUGUAAGAACAUAGAGGUGAAGAAGCUUGUCUACGUGUACCUGGUACGCUACGCUGAGGAGCAGCAAGACCUGGCCCUGCUGUCCAUCUCCACCUUCCAACGUGGCCUAAAGGAUCCCAACCAGCUGAUUCGUGCCAGUGCCCUCCGUGUCCUCUCUAGCAUCCGUGUGCCCAUCAUAGUGCCCAUCAUGAUGCUAGCUAUCAAGGAAGCCGCCUCGGACAUGUCACCCUAUGUGCGGAAAACAGCUGCCCACGCCAUCCCUAAACUCUACAGUUUGGACUCUGACCAGAAGGAUCAGCUGAUAGAAGUCAUUGAGAAGCUUCUGGCUGACAAGACCACGCUGGUGGCGGGCAGUGUGGUGAUGGCCUUUGAGGAGGUCUGCCCGGAGCGCAUCGACCUGAUUCACAAAAACUACCGGAAACUCUGUAACCUGCUGAUCGACGUGGAGGAGUGGGGCCAGGUGGUCAUCAUCAGCAUGCUCACCCGCUACGCCCGCACGCAGUUCCUGAGCCCCACCCAGAACGAAUCCCUACUAGAGGAGAACGCGGAAAAAGCCUUCUACGGCUCAGAGGAGGACGAGGCCAAGGGCGCGGGGUCUGAGGAGACGGCCGCCGCGGCCGCCCCCGCCCGAAAGCCCUAUGUCAUGGACCCCGACCACCGGCUGCUGCUGCGCAACACCAAACCCCUGCUGCAGAGCCGCAGCGCCGCGGUGGUCAUGGCGGUGGCGCAGCUCUACUUCCACCUGGCGCCCAAGGCGGAAGUGGGCGUCAUCGCCAAGGCGCUCGUGCGCCUGCUGCGCAGCCACAGUGAGGUGCAGUACGUUGUGCUCCAGAACGUGGCCACCAUGUCCAUCAAGCGCCGGGGUAUGUUUGAGCCCUACCUGAAGAGCUUCUACAUCAGGUCUACCGACCCCACCCAGAUUAAGAUCCUGAAGCUGGAAGUGCUGACCAACCUGGCCAAUGAGACCAACAUUCCUACUGUCCUACGGGAAUUCCAGACCUAUAUUCGCAGCAUGGACAAGGACUUUGUGGCAGCCACAAUCCAGGCCAUUGGACGCUGUGCAACUAACAUCGGCCGAGUCCGUGACACCUGCCUCAAUGGCCUGGUGCAGCUGCUGUCCAACCGUGAUGAGCUUGUGGUUGCAGAGUCAGUGGUCGUCAUUAAGAAAUUGCUACAGAUGCAGCCAGCACAACAUGGAGAGAUCAUCAAACACUUGGCAAAGCUUACAGACAACAUCCAGGUGCCCAUGGCCCGAGCCAGCAUCCUGUGGCUCAUCGGAGAGUACUGUGAGCAUGUCCCCAGGAUUGCACCUGAUGUCUUAAGAAAAAUGGCCAAGUCAUUCACAGCAGAGGAGGAUAUUGUCAAGCUGCAGGUCAUCAACCUGGCAGCCAAGCUCUACCUGACCAACUCUAAACAGACCAAGCUGCUGACCCAGUAUGUGCUGAGUCUGGCCAAAUAUGACCAGAACUAUGAUAUUCGUGACCGGGCGCGCUUCACCCGGCAGCUCAUCGUCCCUUCCGAGCAGGGUGGGGCCCUCAGCCGCCAUGCCAAGAAGCUCUUCCUGGCACCCAAACCAGCUCCAGUCUUGGAGUCAUCCUUCAAAGACCGGGACCACUUCCAGCUGGGCUCACUGUCCCAUCUGCUCAAUGCCAAGGCCACAGGCUACCAGGAGCUCCCAGACUGGCCGGAGGAAGCCCCAGACCCAUCUGUGCGCAACGUGGAGGUACCUGAAUGGACCAAGUGCUCAAAUCGGGAGAAGAGAAAGGAGAAGGAAAAACCCUUCUACUCGGACUCUGAGGGGGAGUCAGGCCCCACGGAGUCCGCAGACAGUGACCCUGAGUCUGAGAGUGAAUCGGACAGUAAGAGCAGCAGUGAGAGCGGCUCUGGGGAGUCCAGCAGUGAGUCCGACAAUGAAGACCAGGAUGAGGAUGAGGAGAAAGGGAGAGGCAGUGAGAGUGAACAGAGUGAGGAGGAUGGUAAGAGGAAGACAAAGAAGAAGGUGCCAGAGAGAAAAGGAGAAGCGUCAUCCUCUGAUGAGGGCAGCGAUUCCAGCAGUAGCUCAUCAGAGUCCGAGAUGACAUUGGAGUCCGAGGAGGAGCAGUUGGAACCUGCCUCCUGGAGCAGGAAAACACCUCCCAGCAGCAAAAGUGCUCCUGCAACCAAGGAGAUCUCCCUGCUUGAUCUAGAGGAUUGCUCCCUGCUCAACCCAAGCCACCUCCACUUUGCCUCCUCAUAGUCUUAUCUACUCCCACAGUCACCCCUCCCAGUGUCCAGCCUGUGUCUCCCCCAGCAAUUGUGUCUACCAGUCUGGCUGCUGACCUGGAGGGCCUGACACUCACAGACUCCACCCUGGUACCGUCGCUUCUGAGUCCAGUAUCGGGUGUUGGGCGGCAGGAGCUGCUGCACCGGGUAGCUGGCGAGGGGCUGGCUGUGGACUACACCUUCAGCCGCCAACCUUUCUCCGGGGAUCCCCACAUGGUGUCCGUGCACAUCCACUUCUCCAACAGCUCUGAUACCCCCAUCAAGGGCCUGCAUGUGGGCACUCCCAAACUGCCUGCUGGCAUCAGCAUCCAAGAAUUUCCCGAAAUUGAGUCCCUGGCACCUGGAGAAUCUGCCACUGCUGUAAUGGGCAUUAAUUUCUGUGACUCAACCCAGGCAGCCAACUUCCAGCUGUGCACCCAGACCCGACAGUUCUACGUCUCCAUUCAGCCACCUGUUGGGGAGCUGAUGGCCCCUGUGUUCAUGAGUGAAAAUGAGUUUAAGAAGGAACAGGGAAAGCUGAUGGGCAUGAAUGAGAUCACAGAGAAACUCAUGCUGCCAGACACCUGUCGGAGUGACCACAUUGUGGUGCAGAAAGUGACUGCCACUGCCAACCUGGGUCGUGUUCCUUGUGGGACAUCUGAUGAGUACAGGUUUGCAGGGAGGACACUGACCGGUGGAAGCCUCGUUCUGCUGACCCUGGAUGCCCGGCCAGCUGGAGCUGCCCAGCUGACUGUCAACAGCGAGAAAAUGGUGAUUGGCACCAUGCUGGUAAAGGAUGUGAUACAGGCUCUGACCCAGUGACUUCCAAAUGCUGUGACCUGUUUGGCUCCCAUCUAUACCUCCCCAUGACACCUGGGCUGUCAGUCUCUCUCAUCUUUCUCUCUCUCUCUCUCAUCCUCCUCCUCAUGCCAGAUAGCAUUCAGGGUGUCCUCUCUCCCUCUGGAGGACCAAGCCCUCCCCUAAUGCCCUCCCCAUGGAUUCCUUAGUGAUCUGUGCAGAGGGAGAUGGCAGCCACUCCCUUCAGUCCUCCCAGAUUUCUGUAGCUAUUUAUGUAGCAGGCUCAAUAAAAUGUCUUCUCUCUA